ACGGGUUCUCUCUCUUCCUCUACCUCUCUCUUCCUCUUCCUCUCUAUUCUGAAAAAUCUUCUUCUGCAUCUUCCUCCAUACCCAUAAAUUGUUAUUACAGUUUUAUUUUUGAUUUUAAUAGGUGACUAAAUCAUACAUCGAGUUUAACAAAUCUCAAAGGUGUGGUGAUAUUCGUCGCUGGGUUGUUUUGACGGAGCCGUUUUCUCCUAUCAGAAAGCACUAACAGUGUACAAAACUACUAAGAGUUAUAGAAGAUUUGUCGGUGUUGGUUCACGGCAGGCGACGGAGUAUUCUGAAACAGAAAUUCAAGAGAAGACAUCGCACCUCCCCACUCUAUCGGUGUACUAUGGUUGGUAAACCGCGUCUUUAAAAGUGUUUUGAAUUUCACUUAUUUACUUUCAGUUAGAGAUGAAUGGCCAAGAUUAAAUACGAUGGAGGUUAGUUAUCAAUUCUGUUACUCUUUUCUCUCUCUGCAAUUUCUGUUUGUGAGUUUUUUUUUUUUGCAAUAUAUGUUAAAAUGGUUCUGUUAUACAGAUUUUUGUUUUGCUUUUGUGCAGAAUUUUGGCUAUGAUUUGCUGUUAGUUUUGAUGCGGUUUUAGUUUAAGUGCUGGUUGAUUUAUUUGCACUUCUCGGUAUGCCUAGAUGUAUGAACCAGUUUGUAUUAAUGGGUUGCGUGGCUCGGUUUUGGUAAGGAACCGGUUUGGGAGUUGUUAUUACUUAUUGGUGUAGAUUUUCCUGGUUUGUGGAUCUGUUAAUAGCAUCUUUGUAGAUGCUUAAUACUGGUUGUUUGGAAUUAUAUUUUCAACCAAAUGGAAAUGGAGAUAUAUUUUAGUGGUUAUAUGGAGAUUUGGUUUGAGUCUCCAAAUUCAUGUGCUUUCUAUUUAGAGAUUAGUUAGUUUAAUUUUCUUAUUUUACUCUAUCAAUUGUUAUCAGACUAAGAAGAAAUUACUUAAAUUUUGAUAGAAGAAAGAUCAUGAGUUUUACAAAAUAAUUAGCAUUGAUGAUAUUGAUAAUUUUGCAGAUUAUAAAGAGGAGGUUGUUUUAAGCUUAGGGGAUCUUAAAAGUUUCGGUUUCAGAGAACUCCAACAUGCAAUUUAGAGUUUCAGCUCCAAGAAUAUACUGGGUGCUGGAGGUUUUAGCAAUGUUAUUGAUUUUAUGUUUUAAUGUUUUUUUUUAAUUUUAAAUAUUCGAAAUAAAUUACUUAUGGAAUUGAAAAUUUUAAUUUAUUACUAUUUAAU